UCGAACUCACAGAGAUCCACCUGCCUCUGCCACCCGAAUGCUGGGAUUAAAGGUGUGCGCCCCCACCGCCUGGCCAAUGACUCUUUUCUAAUGGUUAACAAAUGGUGAUUUGUUUUCUCUUCCUCUUCCUUGCCCUUUCUCUCUCAUUUCCCCCUUUUCCCACCUCUCUCUCUCUCUUUCUAGAUGUGACUUCCUCAAGUUACCCAUGUUGCCCUCAGAUGCAUAGACACAGCUUGGUGGUUUUCUAGAUACAUUCUCCCUCUAUAUGUAUUGAAAGAAGCAUUUCCUAUCUCUGCUGUUGUAUCAAAAUGCAUUCAUGAAUUCCCUUUUUUCAUGAGGGUCAUCAUUAACUCAUCCUUUAUUCAUUUAUCUAUUUUAAGGUAUGAGGGAUCAAACCCAGGGCCUCAUGCAUGCUAAGUAAGUGCUCUACCACUGAGCACCACCCACAAACCACUGUCAGUGGUCCCAAGUCAGGACCUCUGAUGAUAGAAAGCGGGAUCCGGGCUGGAGAGAUGGCUCAGAGGUUAAGAGCACUGACUGCUCUUCCAGAGGUCCUGAGUUCAAUUCCCAGCAACCACAUGGUGGCUCACAACCAUCUGUAAUGAGAUCUGGUGCCCUCUUCUGGCAUGCAGACAUACAUGGAAGCAAGAUGUUGUAUUAAUAAAUAAAUAAAUCUUAAAAAAAAAUAGUGAGAGCCAAAUUUGGGAGGAUGCGCCCACAGAUCACCUGACACAAGCCUAUCAGCCGGAAGGGCUCUGAAGCAGUUGUUGAGGGAACAGGGCAACAGCUGUAAGAAGUUAGCUUGUGCUUGGCACACAGCCAGACAGUCAGGGCUGGGGCUUUUCUCCUUUACUGGGUGUGACCAGUCCUGUGAACCGUUCUUAUGUGGUCAGAGCUAGACUUAGUUUUCAGGUAUGUGCCGUUAAUGAGUUAACAGAGGCAUCUGCCAGGGUCCGAGGAUGGACACAGACAGAACUGAACCUGGCCUGGGUGUGCUGGGAAGGAAGCAGAGGGGAAGUCCAAAGGGAGCUGAAGCUGGAAAUUGAGCUGCUCUGAGAGGGAGUGGGAGCCUGGAGGAUGCAGGGAGGUGGGAGGCAGCAGGCAGUGGUGAGGCCCAACUUCCUGAAGAUGGAGAGAAGAUUGCAUAGACUCAGACAGUGGAGGUGUGCUGAGGGUUUUGUUGUUGUUUUUUUUUUUUUUUCUCUUUCUCUCUGUCUUUUUUUUCCUUGUUUGGUAUUUCAAGACAGGGUCUCUCUGUGUAGCCCUGGCUGUUCUGGAAUUUGCUCUGUAGAUCAGGCUGGCCUUGAAUUCACAGAGUUUCAUCGGCCUCUGCUUCCCAAGUGCAGGGUUUAAAGGUGUGCACCACCACCUCCAGGCCUAAGACAGCUUCACGAUAUUACCCUUGCCCCCUCCUCACCCUGCUCCCUGAUUCCCCCCAGACCCGGUGGACUCUCUAGACUCUGGGCAUGACUCCAGUCUAUGCACGAGGACUUAUGAUUUUUGGAUCAAGACUAUUUUUCUUGGGAACUUCUGGGGGAAGUGGGGGUGGUGAGAGUCUGCUUCAGAGUGGCUACCACUCUUUCCUCAGAGGCUAUUUAGGGAGGUGACACCUUCCCUUGGCCUACCACAACUCUUUCAAAGAUUCCCACCUUGCUGCCCCCACAGAUGCUCUACGGAGUUGAGGGAAACCACAGACCAGAAGCCCAGCUGUCUCGCUCAGGAGAAGCUGGUGGUGGAGGGGUUGGAGAAUAAGGUUCCUGCUUUACCAGGACCAAGUGGGACCGGAGUCAGGGUGAAUGUCAGAGGUGUGAAUGUUCCCUUCCCAGCAGGCUUUCUCUAAGUGGGUGCUGAAGAGUAGGUCUCCUCAUCCUUGUCCCCAUUUUUUAACAUUUAUUUAGUAUGUGAGCCUGUGAGGGAUGCGUGUGCAGGCACACUCAUUCGAGUGUGCCACAGCACGAGUGGGGAGGUCAGAGGACAAUUUGAAGGAGUCAGUGCGCUCCUAUCUUGCAGUUCUGGGGAUCGAACUCAGAUCUUCAAGCUCGACUGUGAGCAUCUUGUCUGUCUCUCUUGUCCCCCAUUUUAAGGUGUGAAAACCAAGCAAGUCAUCUCAAGACACCCCUAUGGCACAUUAAGGUCAGAGAGAGACUAGAAUCAAGAUGUGCCUGUUCUACCUUGCUUCCUCUAUUUUUGCCCCGAGUUACUUCUCAACCGGGAAUCUAUGGAAUCCAGAAUUUUCCAAAAUGUUCCCAGGAACUUCAUUCAUGAAAUUGGGUGCAUGCUUCUCUGUCUCUGGCCCCCUCACUCCCUCCCCUCCCCCUCUCUUAGCUUUUUUUAAAAUAAAGAUUUAUUUAAUUUUA